rnacentral:misc_RNA from 1 species
GAUGAAGAACGUAGCGAAAUGCGAUAAGUAGUGUGAAUUGCAGAAUUCAGUGAAUCAUCGAAUCUUUGAACGCACAUUGCGCCCCUUGGUAUUCCAUGGGGCAUGCCUGUUCGAGCGUCAUUUGUACCUUCAAGCUCUGCUUGGUGUUGGGUGUUUGUCUCGCCUCUGCGUGUAGACUCGCCUCAAAACAAUUGGCAGCCGGCGUAUUGAUUUCGGAUCGCAGUACAUCUCGCGCUUUGCACUCAUAACGACGACGUCCAAAAGUACAUUUCUACACUCUUGACCUCGGAUCAGGUAGGGAUACCCGCUGAACUUAAGCAUAUCAAUAAGCGGAGGA